rnacentral:rRNA from 1 species
GAUGAACGCUGACAGAAUGCUUAACACAUGCAAGUCUACUUGAAUUUGGGUUUUUUAACUUAGAUUUGGGUGGCGGACGGGUGAGUAACGCGUAAAGAACUUGCCUCACAGCUAGGGACAACAUUUGGAAACGAAUGCUAAUACCUGAUAUUAUGAUUAUAAGGCAUCUUAGAAUUAUGAAAGCUAUAUGCGCUGUGAGAGAGCUUUGCGUCCCAUUAGCUAGUUGGAGAGGUAACGGCUCACCAAGGCGAUGAUGGGUAGCCGGCCUGAGAGGGUGAACGGCGACAAGGGGACUGAGGCACGGCCCUUACUCGUACGUGAGGCAGCAGUGGGGAAUAUUGGACAAUGGACCAAGAGUAUGAUCCAGCAAUUCUGUGUGCACGAUGACGUUUUUCGGAAUGUAAAGUGCUUUCAGUUGAGAAGAAAAAAAUGACGGUACCAACAGAAGAAGUGACGGCUAAAUACGUG